CACACAUGUAAAAAUACUUAGAAAUACUCACAUAAACUCUAAUAAGUACGAAUACUCACAUUUUAAAUGUAAAUGGAGCUGAUCCCUCAGAACCAGGAAGUGUUUCCUAUCGUUUUGGGAAAAAAAUGUAAUCAAAUAAUUUACCAAAAAAAGUAUCAGAGAAAUUACUUUCCGUAACUAAUGUGUUUUAGAAUGAGGGGGAUGAGGGGAGAGGGGAGAGGGUUGUGGAGGGGGAGGGUGAGGUGGCUCAGGCCCCCCCACACUGAGCCCCUCACCCCAGGGAGGGGUCAGGAGUUCACUCCCUCGUCUGGCCGUCAACCUGGAAGACAGCAUGUGUGUGUCGGUACAACGGUGUGUGCGUGUAUGUGUGUGUGUGUGUGUGUGUGUGUGUGUGUAUGUCUCUCUGCCAGUACGCGUGUGUGUGUGUCAGUAUGUGUGUGUGUCAGGGUGUGUGUGUGUGUGUGUGUGUCAGUGUGCUUGUGCCAGUGUGUGUGACUUGCAGUACGUGUUUGCGUCAGUAUGUGUGUGUGUGUGUGUGUGUGUGUGUGUGUGUGUGUGUGUGUGUGUGUGUGUGUGUGUGUGUGUGUGUGACAGGGGUGAGGGCAGCAUAUUGAAAUAUGGUGUGUGUUCAUGCCAAAGUGGAAUCAGGGGAAUGUUGAGGUACAAGUGCGUCUUAAAGCCACAACAACGCACAAUUCAUCCACUCCGACCGCGGGCUCCACCGCUGUCCAAUCAGAGCGGGGGAUUCCUGGGUUUGUUAUUCUUUCCGUUUCCAAACACUUAGCCGGCCGAACGUCUCUGAGCUGGGCUGCUCCCCUCCCAUCCUCCUCUGGUUCACCCUCACAUCAGGCCCCCCCUCCCCCACCUCCCCAACAUCUCCCCCACAGCCCCCCACCUCCCCCACACUCCCUCACAUCCCCCCCCACCCCCCCAGACCCCACCACGUCAAACACAUCUCAACCCUGUAUAUGUACUCAGCCUCCCCAAGACCAGCACUGAGCCAGGAGGAGGAGGGGGAGGAGAGGAGGAGGGAGAGGAGGGGGAGGAGAGGAGGAGGGAGAGGAGGA
ensembl:lncRNA